AGCUCCGAGGUGUUUUACAUAUCAGAUUGCAAAUCCGAAGAUGCAGGUCAACGCCUGCCGGGGCUU
rnacentral:tRNA from 1 species